AAUAAGUGCAGCCAUAAGUUUCCGCGCCCAACUUUGACCGUCCGUUUUAUUUGAUUUUUUUUAUUAAUUAGCACUUUUGUUGUUAUAAGAUGAUAAAACAUGGAUAGUACUUUACUCGUAACUUAUGUCUUUAAUUUUUUUCAAAAAAAAAUUUUAAAUAAGACGGACGAUUAAAGUUGGACGCGGAAACUCAUGGCUGCACUUAUU
rfam:Oryza glaberrima chromosome 1 Oglab01_0247_3, whole genome shotgun sequence.